AUUGAACGCUGGCGGCAGGCUUUACACAUGCAAGUCGAACGAGUGGCGGACGGGUGAGUAACGCAUGGGAACGUACCGAGUGAUGGGGGAUAACUGUCCGAAAGGGCAGCUAAUACCGCAUAUUAUUCGAGCUGCCGAUGUGGGAUUAGCUGGUUGGUGGGGUAAAGGCCCACCAAGGCGACGAUCAGUAGCGGGUCUGAGAGGAUGAUCCGCCACACUGGAACUGAGACACGGUCCAGACUCCUACGGGAGGCAGCAGUGGGGAAUUUUGGACAAUGGGCGCAAGCCUGAUGCAGCCAUGCCGCGUGUGUGAAGAAGGCCUUCGGGUUGUAAAGGACUUUUGUCGGGGAAGCGGUACCUGCAGAAGAAGCACCGGCUAACUACGUGCCAGCAGCCGCGGUAAUAC
rnacentral:rRNA from 1 species